UGUCGUUUGUCUUAUCAUCGAGGGAUCUUACUCGGGUAUAUAAAACAUCGGCUUGGGGCAUGCGAACACAAAUAAACAAUGUUUAGGUAUACAAAACACGACAUAGAUACCCGAGUAAAGUUAAGAGAUUUGGUUUGAUUGCCAAUGAGACAAAUAUUCGCCAGAUUUGUAAUGAUGUGACUGUAACAAUUAUGUGUCACUAAAAGGCCACUAUGCCUUUGAAAAUGGCAAACAUUUGAAAAAAGAAACUAACGGCC
rnacentral:lncRNA from 1 species